rnacentral:rRNA from 1 species
AAGUGACGGUACCUGCAGAAGAAGCACCGGCUAACUACGUGCCAGCAGCCGCGGUAAUACGUAGGGUGCGAGCGUUAUCCGGGAAUUAUUGGGCGUAAAGAGCUCGUAGGCGGUUUGUCGCGUCUGUCGUGAAAGUCCGGGGCUUAACCCCGGGAUCUGCGGUGGGUACGGGCAGACUAGAGUGCAGUAGGGGAGACUGGAAUUCCUGGUGUAGCGGUGGAAUGCGCAGAUAUCAGGAGGAACACCGAUGGCGAAGGCAGGUCUCUGGGCUGUAACUGACGCUGAGGAGCGAAAGCAUGGGGAGCGAACAGGAUUAGAUACCCUGGUAGUCCAUGCCGUAAACGUUGGGCACUAGGUGUGGGGACCAUUCCACGGUUUCCGCGCCGCAGCUAACGCAUUAAGUGCCCCGCCUGGGGAGUACGGCCGCAAGGCUAAAACUCAAAGGAAUUGACGGGGGCCCGCACAAGCGGCGGAGCAUGCGGAUUAAUUCGAUGCAACGCGAAGAACCUUACCAAGGCUUGACAUGUUCUCGAUCGCCGUAGAGAUACGGUUUCCCCUUUGGGGCGGGUUCACAGGUGGUGCAUGGUUGUCGUCAGCUCGUGUCGUGAGAUGUUGGGUUAAGUCCCGCAACGAGCGCAACCCUCGUUCCAUGUUGCCAGCACGUANUGGUGGGGACUCAUGGGAGACUGCCGGGGUCAACUCGGAGGAAGGUGAGGACGACGUCAAAUCAUCAUGCCCCUUAUGUCUUGGGCUUCACGCAUGCUACAAUGGCCGGUACAAUGGGUUGCGAUACUGUGAGGUGGAGCUAAUCCCAAAAAGCCGGUCUCAGUUCGGAUUGGGGUCU